AACGCACAUUGCGCCCUUUGGUAUUCCGAAGGGCAUGCCUGUUCGAGCGUCAUUACAACCACUCAAGCUCACGCUUGGUAUUGGGGUUCGCGAUUAGCGGCCCCUAAAAUCAGUGGCGGUGCUCUCAAGCUCUACGCGUAGUAAUACUUCUCGCUAUAGGGUCUUGAGGGUGUCUUGCCAACAAUCCCCAAUUUUUUCAGGUUGACCUCGGAUCAGGUAGGGAUACCCGCUGAACUUAA
rnacentral:misc_RNA from 1 species